GAUGAACGCUGGCGGCGUGCUUAACACAUGCAAGUCGAACGAACCUUCGGGUUAGUGGCGGACGGGUGAGUAACGCGUGGGAAUCUGCCCUCAGGAGGGGGAUAACGGUUGGAAACGACCGCUAAUACCCCAUAUGCCGAGAGGUGAAAUGAAUUUCGCCUGAGGAUGAGCCCGCGUCUGAUUAGCUUGUUGGUGAGGUAAUGGCUCACCAAGGCAUCGAUCAGUAGCUGGUCUGAGAGGAUGAUCAGCCACACUGGGACUGAGACACGGCCCAGACUCCUACGGGAGGCAGCAGUGGGGAAUUUUCCGCAAUGGGCGAAAGCCUGACGGAGCAACGCCGCGUGAGGGACGAAGGCCUCUGGGCUGUAAACCUCUUUUCUCAAGGAAGAAGAUAUGACGGUACUUGAGGAAUAAGCCACGGCUAAUUCCGUGCCAGCAGCCGCGGUAAUACGGGAGUGGCAAGCGUUAUCCGGAAUUAUUGGGCGUAAAGCGUCCGCAGGCGGCCUUUCAAGUCUGCUGUUAAAACGUGGAGCUUAACUCCAUCAUGGCAGUGGAAACUGAUUGGCUUGAGUAUGGUAGGGGCAGAGGGAAUUCCCGGUGUAGCGGUGAAAUGCGUAGAUAUCGGGAAGAACACCAGUGGCGAAGGCGCUCUGCUGGGCCAUUACUGACGCUCAUGGACGAAAGCCAGGGGAGCGAAAGGGAUUAGAUACCCCUGUAGUCCUGGCCGUAAACGAUGAACACUAGGUGUCGGGGGAAUCGACCCCUUCGGUGUCGUAGCUAACGCGUUAAGUGUUCCGCCUGGGGAGUACGCACGCAAGUGUGAAACUCAAAGGAAUUGACGGGGGCCCGCACAAGCGGUGGAGUAUGUGGUUUAAUUCGAUGCAACGCGAAGAACCUUACCAGGGCUUGACAUCCUGCGAACCUUUAAGAAAUUAGAGGGUGCCUUCGGGAACGCAGUGACAGGUGGUGCAUGGCUGUCGUCAGCUCGUGUCGUGAGAUGUUGGGUUAAGUCCCGCAACGAGCGCAACCCACGUUUUUAGUUGCCAGCAUUUAGUUGGGCACUCUAGAAAGACCGCCGGUGAUAAACCGGAGGAAGGUGUGGAUGACGUCAAGUCAUCAUGCCCCUUACGUCCUGGGCUACACACGUACUACAAUGCUACGGACAAAGGGCAGCAAACUCGCGAGAGCUAGCAAAUCCCAUAAACCGUGGCUCAGUUCAGAUCGUAGGCUGCAACUCGCCUACGUGAAGUAGGAAUCGCUAGUAAUCGCAGGUCAGCAUACUGCGGUGAAUACGUUCCCGGGCCUUGUACACACCGCCCGUCACACCAUGGAAGUUGGCCACGCCCGAAGUCGUUACUUUAACCCUUGUGGAGAAGGACGCCGAAGGUGGGGCUGAUGACUGGGGUG
rnacentral:rRNA from 1 species